rnacentral:lncRNA from 1 species
AAAAAAAAUUGAAUAAAGAAUAAAUAUGGAAAAAUUAUAAGUAUCAAAACUAUUUGUCAGUUAUUUCUUAAUUGCAUUGCAUGCAUAUUUUACGUAACGUACUUCUUUAAAUAUACUUACUAAUAAAUGAGACUAAUUACUAGGAAAUCAAAUCAAAAUAGACAAUUUCGUAUUAAAUACAUAUUAAAUACCACACAAAUAAAUGAAAUAAAUACCUCGUUCUCAAAGUAUUGCUUUUAUAAAAUUUUGUAAGGAUUGUAGCGAAAACGAAAAAGUAGCGGUAAAACAUUUAAGUUGGUAACCCUGACGCCCCUUGUGACGCCACGACAAGCGAGCUGCGAGUGCGCCACCAGUCCGCCAUCUUUCUUACCUUUUUGAUUGUUGACUUGUAAAUUUUGUAAUUAGUUUUUGCCGACGUCCACCGUGCCGUUUUUUAAGUAAUUUUUGGUAUUUUACAAAUUGUGUUACUUUAGUGGACACGUGGAGACAUGGACGCUGACUGUUGGAAGAAUUCGUCAAUUCAGACUGGCGCAAAGAGCUAUCAGGGCGCGAUGCCAGGAAUUUCAUUGCGAGACAGAAUUCGAAAUGAGGAUAUUCGCCAACGCAAUAAAGUUACCGACAUUGCAAAAAGGAUUAACUCAAGUGGGAAUGGACCGGCUAUAUUUUUCGCAGAGAUGACGAUCAAUGGGGUCGCCUAGUAUUGCUGUGGAGACCUAGCCUGGGUGGCCGAGGUGGCGGGAAACCACGAGCAGAUGGUCAGAUGACAUCAAAAAACGGCAGGGCCCACCUGGCACUGGCACAGAACCGCCACAUAUAGAACGGAGUGGAAACCCACGGAAUGCAGACCAGGAUCAUAUACUUUAGGUAUGAGUUUGUUACUUUUGCUCAUAAUAACAUGGAGUAUGUCACAGCUGCUCCACGGGCUGCAUUGAAGGGCAACAGGAGCGAAAAUGGAAAGGAGCUCCCCUUUCAAUUAGAGAAUCUUAGGAUAUGCUAAGGCAAACAGAAGGAGGCAAGGAACGGGACUGCAUCAAUUGCUGUUUGGAACCAAUCUUGUGGGAUGACUUCUGGACAGGGAAAAAACAAUUUCAUCAUCUACCCUAAUACUGACGAAUGUUCUAAAACGUGCUGUAAGGCAGACAUUUCCAAAUGUAACGGAGGAAAGUUUCGAGACAUGUAAUGGUUUCAACACGCUGCUGAGACCCAACUCAAGAGACGUCAGUUUGUACUGUUUUGUCCAUUCUCUAUGGGGCAUGCUUGUAUGGAGAGGUAUAUAUAUUGGAGUACAGACAUGGUGUUUGGUAUGAGUAUUAUAUACAUCCUCUUGAGUCAAAGAGGACCGGUAGCCACUUUGAACUCCGUGUCCGAAAGGGUCAAAGUAUGGAGCUCCCGGUACUCAGAAAAAAAAUUCUGGCCUAUUAGUUUUGAACUUUCGAGUCAAGUUUGGUGUCAUUUUUAUGUAAACUGUUCGCUUCAUUUUUAAAUUGAAGAAGAUUAAAAAUCACAGUAAUAUUAUUAAGGCAAAAGUUUGUGAGCAUACUGUGUUUGUUACUUCCUCACGCCACGCCCAAGUGCCUUAACAAAUAUUAUUUAUAAAAUUAAGUAUGGAGGAAGUAAGAUAUACCCUAAGUUAACACGUCGCUUCUUCUUGAUCGUGGGUAACACUCGGGGCGCAGUAUAAUGAUUAUUAAAAAUCUUUAUGCUGUCCCCUAUGCUGCGAUGGCGAUCGUUGCAGUACUUUCAAUAUUUUUUUUACAUCAAAUAUUAGAAUCAUCAAAGAUUACUAAUAAAAUAGGCUUUUUAAAAAUAUUUUUUAAAAAUCAUGAUUAGUAUAAAAAUAUGGAAAUAUGAGGAUUUGUUUGCAUUUCGUGGCUACUAAAAAUUCAUUAUAUUAAAUAUUGUGCUAUAUUUUGCUAUGGAACCCUAAAAAAGUAGUUACAUAAAACUGACACUAAAAUUGACUCAAAAGCUCA